GACGGACGCUGGCGGCGUGCUUAACACAUGCAAGUCGAACGGAAAGGCCCCUUCGGGGGUACUCGAGUGGCGAACGGGUGAGUAACACGUGAGUAACCUGCCCUUGACUUCGGGAUAACUUCAGGAAACUGGGGCUAAUACCGGAUAGGAAUCCUUGCUGCAUGGUGGGGGUUGGAAAGCUUCGGCGGUUUUGGAUGGACUCGCGGCUUAUCAGCUUGUUGGUGGGGUAGUGGCUUACCAAGGCCUUGACGGGUAGCCGGCCUGAGAGGGCGACCGGCCACAUUGGGACUGAGAUACGGCCCAGACUCCUACGGGAGGCAGCAGUGGGGAAUAUUGCACAAUGGGCGGAAGCCUGAUGCAGCAACGCCGUGUGCGGGAUGACGGCCUUCGGGUUGUAAACCGCUUUCAGCAGGGGCGAAGCUUGUGGUGACGGUACCUGCAGAAGAAGCACCGGCUAACUACGUG
rnacentral:rRNA from 1 species